CGUACACUCCUACGGGAGGCAGCAGUGGGGAAUAUUGGACAAUGGGCGCAAGCCUGAUCCAGCCAUGCCGCGUGAGUGAUGAAGGCCCUAGGGUUGUAAAGCUCUUUCACCGGUGAAGAUAAUGACGGUAACCGGAGAAGAAGCCCCGGCUAACUUCGUGCCAGCAGCCGCGGUAAUACGAAGGGGGCUAGCGUUGUUCGGAUUUACUGGGCGUAAAGCGCACGUAGGCGGACUAUUAAGUCAGGGGUGAAAUCCCGGGGCUCAACCCCGGAACUGCCUUUGAUACUGGUAGUCUUGAGUUCGAGAGAGGUGAGUGGAAUUCCGAGUGUAGCGGUGAAAUUCGUAGAUAUUCGGAGGAACACCAGUGGCGAAGGCGGCUCACUGGCUCGAUACUGACGCUGAGGUGCGAAAGCGUGGGGAGCAAACAGGAUUAGAUACCCGGGUAGUCCCAUG
rnacentral:rRNA from 1 species